rnacentral:pre_miRNA from 1 species
UAGUCGACUAUCGAUAGUACUAUCGAUAGUUUUUCGAUAGUCGACUAACGAUAGUACUAUCGAUAGAUUUUCGAAAGUCGACUAUCGAUAGUAUUAUCGAUAGUACUAUCGAUAGUCGACU